rnacentral:rRNA from 1 species
AUUGAACGCUGGCGGCAGGCCUAACACGUGCAAGUCGAGCGGCAGCGGAAAGUAGCUUGCUACUUUGCCGGCGAGCGGCGGACGGGUGAGUAAUGUCUGGGAAACUGCCUGAUGGAGGGGGAUAACUACUGGAAACGGUAGCUAAUACCGCAUGACCUCGAAAGAGCAAAGUGGGGGAUCUUCGGACCUCACGCCAUCGGAUGUGCCCAGAUGGGAUUAGCUAGUAGGUGAGGUAAUGGCUCACCUAGGCGACGAUCCCUAGCUGGUCUGAGAGGAUGACCAGCCACACUGGAACUGAGACACGGUCCAGACUCCUACGGGAGGCAGCAGUGGGGAAUAUUGCACAAUGGGCGCAAGCCUGAUGCAGCCAUGCCGCGUGUGUGAAGAAGGCCUUAGGGUUGUAAAGCACUUUCAGCGAGGAGGAAGGCAUCAUACUUAAUACGUGUGGUGAUUGACGUUACUCGCAGAAGAAGCACCGGCUAACUCCGUGCCAGCAGCCGCGGUAAUACGGAGGGUGCAAGCGUUAAUCGGAAUUACUGGGCGUAAAGCGCACGCAGGCGGUUUGUUAAGUCAGAUGUGAAAUCCCCGCGCUUAACGUGGGAACUGCAUUUGAAACUGGCAAGCUAGAGUCUUGUAGAGGGGGGUAGAAUUCCAGGUGUAGCGGUGAAAUGCGUAGAGAUCUGGAGGAAUACCGGUGGCGAAGGCGGCCCCCUGGACAAAGACUGACGCUCAUGUGCGAAAGCGUGGGGAGCAAACAGG